rnacentral:rRNA from 1 species
GAACGAACUCUGGUAUUGAUUGGUGCUUGCAUCAUGAUUUACAUUUGAGUGAGUGGCGAACUGGUGAGUAACACGUGGGAAACCUGCCCAGAAGCGGGGGAUAACACCUGGAAACAGAUGCUAAUACCGCAUAACAACUUGGACCGCAUGGUCCGAGCUUGAAAGAUGGCUUCGGCUAUCACUUUUGGAUGGUCCCGCGGCGUAUUAGCUAGAUGGUGGGGUAAUGGCUCACCAUGGCAAUGAUACGUAGCCGACCUGAGAGGGUAAUCGGCCACAUUGGGACUGAGACACGGCCCAAACUCCUACGGGAGGCAGCAGUAGGGAAUCUUCCACAAUGGACGAAAGUCUGAUGGAGCAACGCCGCGUGAGUGAAGAAGGGUUUCGGCUCGUAAAACUCUGUUGUUAAAGAAGAACAUAUCUGAGAGUAACUGUUCAGGUAUUGACGGUAUUUAACCAGAAAGCCACGGCUAACUACGUGCCAGCAGCCGCGGUAAUACGUAGGUGGCAAGCGUUGUCCGGAUUUAUUGGGCGUAAAGCGAGCGCAGGCGGUUUUUUAAGUCUGAUGUGAAAGCCUUCGGCUCAACCGAAGAAGUGCAUCGGAAACUGGGAAACUUGAGUGCAGAAGAGGACAGUGGAACUCCAUGUGUAGCGGUGAAAUGCGUAGAUAUAUGGAAGAACACCAGUGGCGAAGGCGGCUGUCUGGUCUGUAACUGACGCUGAGGCUCGAAAGUAUGGGUAGCAAACAGGGUUAGAUACCCUGGUAGUCCAUACCGUAAACGAUGAAUGCUAAGUGUUGGAGGGUUUCCGCCCUUCAGUGCUGCAGCUAACGCAUUAAGCAUUCCGCCUGGGGAGUACGGCCGCAAGGCUGAAACUCAAAGGAAUUGACGGGGGCCCGCACAAGCGGUGGAGCAUGUGGUUUAAUUCGAAGCUACGCGAAGAACCUUACCAGGUCUUGACAUACUAU